GACGAACGCUGGCGGCGUGCCUAAUACAUGCAAGUCGAACGAGAGCGACCGGUGCUUGCACUGGUCAAUCUAGUGGCGAACGGGUGAGUAACACGUGGGUAACCUGCCCAUCAGAGGGGGAUAACAUCCGGAAACGGAUGCUAAAACCGCAUAGGUCUUCGAGCCGCAUGGCUUGAAGAGGAAAAGAGGCGCAAGCUUCUGCUGAUGGAUGGACCCGCGGUGCAUUAGCUAGUUGGUGAGGUAACGGCUCACCAAGGCCGUGAUGCAUAGCCGACCUGAGAGGGUGAUCGGCCACAUUGGGACUGAGACACGGCCCAAACUCCUACGGGAGGCAGCAGUAGGGAAUCUUCCGCAAUGGACGCAAGUCUGACGGAGCAACGCCGCGUGAGUGAAGAAGGUUUUCGGAUCGUAAAACUCUGUUGUUAGAAAAGAACAAGUGCUAGAGU
rnacentral:rRNA from 1 species